AACGAACGCUGGCGGCAGGCCUAACACAUGCAAGUCGACGCCCUAGCAAUAGGGAGUGGCAGACGGGUGAGUAACACGUGGGAACCUUCCCUAUAGUACGGAAUAUACCAGGGAAACUUGGAGCAAUACCGUAUACGCCCGAGAGGGGAAAGAUUUAUCGCUAUAGGAUGGGCCCGCGUAGGAUUAGCUAGUUGGUGAGGUAAUGGCUCACCAAGGCGACGAUCCUUAGCUGGUUUGAGAGAACGACCAGCCACACUGGGACUGAGACACGGCCCAGACUCCUACGGGAGGCAGCAGUGGGGAAGUAUUGGACAAUAGGGCGGCAAGCCUGAUCCAGCCAUGCCGCGUGAGUGAUGAAGGCCUUAGGGUUGUAAAGCUCUUCUGCCGGGGACGAUAAUGACGGUACCCGGAGAAUAAGUCCCGGCUAACUUCGUGCCAGCCGCCG
rnacentral:rRNA from 1 species